rnacentral:pre_miRNA from 1 species
AACAGGUGUUGUUGUGAUGAUGAUGAUGAUGACGAUGGUGACGAUGAUGAGGAUGAUCGUCAUCAUCAUCAUCAUCGUCGUCAUCAUGAUGAGUA